GACGAACGCUGGCGGCGUGCUUAACACAUGCAAGUCGAACGGAAAGGCCCUGCUUUUGUGGGGUGCUCGAGUGGCGAACGGGUGAGUAACACGUGAGUAACCUGCCCUUGACUUUGGGAUAACUUCAGGGAACUGGGGCUAAUACCGGAUAGGAGCUCCUGCUGCAUGGUGGGGGUUGGAAAGUUUCGGCGGUUGGGGAUGGACUCGCGGCUUAUCAGCUUGUUGGUGGGGUAGUGGCUUACCAAGGCUUUGACGGGUAGCCGGCCUGAGAGGGUGACCGGCCACAUUGGGACUGAGAUACGGCCCAGACUGCUACGGGAGGCAGCAGUGGGGAAUAUUGCACAAUGGGCGGAAGCCUGAUGCAGCAACGCCGCGUGCGGGAUGACGGCCUUCGGGUUGUAAACCGCUUUCGCCUGUGACGAAGCGUGAGUGACGGUAAUGGGUAAAGAAGCACCGGCUAACUACGUG
rnacentral:rRNA from 1 species